GUGAGGAAUAUUGGUCAAUGGACGAGAGUCUGAACCAGCCAAGUCGCGUGAAGGAAGACGGUUCUAUGAAUUGUAAACUUCUUUUGUGCAGGAAUAAAGUGGGUUACGUGUAACCUUUUGUAUGUACUGUACGAAUAAGGAUCGGCUAACUCCGUGCCAGCAGCCGCGGUAAUACGGAGGAUCCGAGCGUUAUCCGGAUUUAUUGGGUUUAAAGGGUGCGUAGGUGGAUUGAUAAGUCAGCGGUGAAAGUUUGCAGCUUAACUGUAAAAUUGCCGUUGAAACUGUCGUUCUUGAGUGAAAAUGAGGUGGACGGAAUUUGUUUUGUAGCGUUAAAAUGCUUAGAUAUAACACAGAACUCCGAUUGCGAAGGCAGCUUACUGGGAUGCAACUGACACUGAUGCACGAAAGCGUGGGUAUCAAACAGGAUUAGAUACCCUGUAGUCC
rnacentral:rRNA from 1 species